rnacentral:rRNA from 1 species
CCUACGGGUGGCAGCAGUGGGGAAUAUUGCACAAUGGGGGAAACCCUGAUGCAGCGAAGCCGCGUGAGUGAAGAAGUAAUUCGUUACGGAAAGCUCUAUCAGCAGGGAAGAAAAUGACGGUACCUGAGUAAGAAGCCCCGGCUAACUACGUGCCAGCAGCCGCGGUAACACGUAGGGGGCAAGCGUUAUCCGGAUUUAGUGGGUGUAAAGGGAGCGUAGACGGUGCGCCAAGUCUGGAGUGAAAUGCCGGGGCUUAACCCCGGAACGGCCUUGGAAACUGUGCGGCUGGAGUGCAGGAGGGGUAAGCGGAAUUCCUGGUGUAGCGGUGAAAUGCGUAGAUAUUAGGAGGAACACCGGUGGCGAAGGCGGCUUACUGGACUGUAACUGACGUUGAGGCUCGAAAGCGUGGGGAGCAAACAGGAUUAGAUACCCUAGUAGUC